CGCGUAGGCGGCUUGGCAAGUCAGAUGCGAAAUCCCCGAGCUUAACUUGGGAAUUGCAUCUGAAACUGCUUUGCUUGAGUCCUGGAGGGGGUAGUGGAAUUCCCAGUGUAGCGGUGAAAUGCGUAGAUAUUGGGAGGAACACCGGCGGCGAAGGCGGCUACCUGGACAGUGACUGACGCUGAGGCGCGAAAGCUAGGGGAGCGAACGGGAUUAGAUACCCCGGUAGUCCUAGCUGUAAACGAUGGGCACUUGGUGUCGGGGGGUAUUGAGUCCCCCGGUGCCGGAGUUAACGCGUUAAGUGCCCCGCCUGGGGAGUACGGUCGCAAGACUGAA
rnacentral:rRNA from 1 species